AUUUAAAUAGCUUAAAUUAUUAAUAGAGCGUAACAUUGAAGAUGUUAAAGUGAUAUAAUUAUCUUUAAAUA
rnacentral:tRNA from 1 species